rnacentral:rRNA from 1 species
AGCGAACGCUGGCGGCAGGCCUAACACAUGCAAGUCGAACGAAGUCUUCGGACUUAGUGGCGGACGGGUGAGUAACACGUGGGAGCGUGCCUUUAGGUUCGGAAUAACUCAGGGAAACUUGUGCUAAUACCGAAUGUGCCCUUCGGGGGAAAGAUUUAUCGCCUUUCGAGCGGCCCGCGUCUGAUUAGCUAGUUGGUGAGGUAAAGGCUCACCAAGGCGACGGUCAGUAGCUGGUCUGAGAGGAUGAUCAGCCACAUUGGGAAUGAGACACGGCCCAAACUCCUACGGGAGGCGGCAGUGGGGAAUCGUGCGCAAUGGGCGAAAGCCUGACGCAGCCAUGCCGCGUGAAUGAUGAAGGUCUUAGGAGUGUAAAAUUCUUUCACCGGGGACGAUAAUGACGGUACCCGGAGAAGAAGCCCCGGCUAACUUCGUGCCAGCCGCCGCGGUAAGAC